CAUAAAUGGAAACCAAAGUGGGCUUGGAACAGAGCAUUGAACAUGGCGCAAAAAAAAAUUAACAUAAAACUAACGGGGGAAAAGCAGUGAAUCCUCUGGCUGUGGAAAACCGGUUAACAAGCUGGAAGAACUGGCAAGAACUCAGAUAUACCGAGGCCUAAUGGCGCCAACGACGAUUACUGAAAACAUAGACAUUAAAUGCAGAGGAAGUGACAUUAAUUGCAUUGAUUUAGCAGGGCCCUACAGCCUACAGCCAACCAACCGAUAAAAGUUGGCCUAUCCAUCUCCAUUAUAGAGUACUUGCCAAUAGGGCAACGAAUUUCCGGGACAAGAAAUUAUAAAACCGAAAUGGGAAACAUGAACAUUACGCACCCAUUGCGUAUGCACUUCCAAUUAUUUGAAAUUGUUGCUAAUGAGAAAUUAAUUUGCAAAAUGCUAAUCAAGCGGCGGCAGUUGCUAUCGCUGGUCUGGUUGCUGGUCAGCAUUCUCCAUUCUAAUUCCAACAAAUUGCCAUCGAAGCUGGCUGGCUGGGCAACGGAUCGAAGUGAUUUAAUUAAGACUGCCGGUCAGACAGUUGCACGAGUUUCCCAAUUUUGGCAUCGAUCCCGCUUGGACUCUAAU
rnacentral:misc_RNA from 1 species